AGAGUUGAUCAUGGCUCAGAACGAACGCUGGUGGCGUGUCUUAUACAUGCAAGUCGAGCGAGGCAGCAAUGCCGAGCGGCGAACGGGUGAGUAACGCGUAAGCAAUCUGCCCCAUAUCAGGAAAUACCCGUGCCAACGCGCGGUUAAUGUCCAGGAGAGUGGCCCCCUGCAUGGGGGGUUGACUAGAGAUUUAUCGGUAUGGGAUGAGCUUGCGUCCGAUUAGCUAGUGGCGGGGCAACGGCCCACCAAGGCGACGAUCGGUAGCCGGCCUGAGAGGGUGAUCGGCCACAUUGGGACUGAGAUACGGCCCAGACUCCUACGGGAGGCAGCAGUAGGGAAUAUUGCACAAUGGGGGAAACCCUGAUGCAGCAACGCCACGUGUGGGAAGAAGCAUUUCGGUGUGUAAACCACUGUCAUGAGGGAAUAAGGCCCUUAUUCGUAAGGGAUUGAAUGUACCUUGAGAGGAAGCACCGGCAAACUUCGUGCCAGCCGCGGC
rnacentral:rRNA from 1 species